AUCAAAGUUCUGUUCAUCCAUCCAUCCUGAUGAGUGGGCAGCCUCCUCCCCCGUAUCAUCCCUAUAACCCAGAUGGAGCUCCGCCCCCUACUUUCCCACCAGCUUUUGUCUCACAACCAGCCUUUUUCCCUGGCUCCAUUUACCAGACUUUUCCUCAGACCCCCAUAGACUCCACCCACCAUCACGCAGGACAGCUGGGACAUGGUGUGGGGUCACUGCUGGGUUACCUUGGAGACAAGCAGGAGCACCCCCCACCCCCAAAACAUGGAGUGAACGUGAUGGAGCCCCGCCCCUACCAGGAGAGAGGUGUGGGCUCGUACCUGGCAGCGUGUUCGGCUGCUCUCUGCUGCUGCUGCCUGUGGGAUCUGCUUCAUCGCUGAAGCCGUCAUUCCCUUCAACCUCUUCGUCAUCUCUGUCUUCGCAGCACCCACCACCAUGAUGGAAGGGAUCGAAUCUGCUUGAUUAAUAUGUUUUCAGCUUUGAUUUUAGGGCAGAGAAAAAUCUGCCACACGUAUUCUUGGGUUUAUUAAUAAACAUUAAAAAAAUACAAGUCAGUGUUGAGAUUAUUUGCUUUUGACCCCCAGACUCAGUCUGGCCAACAUUAAAGUCCCACUCCAAUCAUCUUUUGUAAAAUUGUUCCCAUUGGUCUUUUCACAAUGAAGGAGCUGUUUUGAACUCAAAUCAACAAACCUGUCAUUUUCUAGGAUGUAGUUUCUACAGAGUUGCAGGAGUUCAUUAGAAAUUCAUCUUGUCCCACCUUCCCGUCUUGUUGCUGAGAGCUCUCUGUGUAUGCUCUUUCCUGCUAGCUUACAGGCCCUCACAACCCUACCCUAACAUUAGGUUGCGGUGCCCAAGACCAUAUGGAAAGCAAUAUUGGAGCUAUCCAGUCAUAUAGUUUAGAUCCAGAUUUCUGCUACGACGAGGAAAACAAUCGUGAAUGUAUUUGUCUGCAAGUGGAUGCAUCUGAAUGGCGCCGGUCCGGGGGCCUCGCAGACAAGAAAGAGGGCACAGUAAGCAUUUCAGUCCACAGUACCUGUGCAGCGAGGUCCGAGCGCCUUAAGCCCUAAAGCACGCAGCAGUUGGGGCUUAUCAAGCUGGAGCCGGUCGAGACACUCUGCCAAGGGAAAAUCACACAAAUGGAUCCCACCCAGCCUCUAUCAGAAGGACUUAGGUACCCAGAUGACAUUGGGUAGGCGGUUUUCCAUACACCACAUUCUGCACUGAGCUCUUCCCUCAGUGUAACUGAGGAAAUCCUGGUUAUUGUCUUUUCCACUGCUUAGUAAUAUUAUUACCAGCAGGUCGUUUAGUCUGAUCUGAAGUUGAACACACAUAUUAAUACCACAGUCAUCCUCCAUAAAAGAAAAAAGAUAGGUGGUCCUGCCAGAAAACGUGGAAAUAGUGAAAAGUCUGAAGUUACAAUUAACUUUCAAUAAUAGGCUACAAGAUCAACCUAAACGUUCAUUAUUCUUCCUAAAUUGUUUUCCAUAAGUUCUCCUUUAUUGGCCGACGGUAAUAAUUUACCUGUGAAAAGUCACAUUUUUGUUUUUCCAACGCUAUUUGUGUAAAUGUAGCACAGCAGUAAACAAGCAUCUCGACAUAUCCAAUAUGGCGUCCGACUUUGCAUACGCAACAAGCUAGCGUAGCCACUCUAGCCUUUAGAGCUCAUUGGUUAGAACACCGGAACUUGCUUCCGUCCCGGAACUCGUCAUAUCAGUCUAGAAAACGGAAGUUCCUCCUCUUUGGUUUCCGCUCGGUGAAGAAGCUUUUAGGUGAGUCCUGCUCGGAGUUUUUAUCCUUUUGAAUCCCGCUCACAGGCGUCCAUCUACCUUUGCAUUGUCAUCGUAUUGACUGCUGGACUUUGGUUGUACCCGUAGGUGGGUGAAUUUCGUUUCUGUGAAGUGAAAAUAAACAGUUUUAAAGAGAUUUUCUCCGGUGUUUCCACUGUUGGUGCCGCCAUAUUGGUCGCGCGCGGAGGUUUCUUUAGCAGGAUGAUGGCGUGAUUACCCAAAGUCUCCGCACAUGUUCUGCGAGGAAUUGUUAGCUGUAAGUCAGAAAUGUUGACGCGGACACUUAAAUCGUGAAAGCUAGCAGGCUAAAGUUAACCUUCCGGUUCAAGCCUCCUGAGGGAGCGUUAGGGCAGCUCUGACCGCGCAGGUGUUGCAGUCUCGAGCUCGUGCGGUUGAACAUGCUAGCAUCCUUAAAUCUGCUGCAGAGAUUCAUGUCGGUGCCUGACCCGAUGGUUCCUUCAGACAGUCGCGAAUAAACACGUGUUAGUGACGUUGUUCAUUACAAGGGGUCUGGAUGAAGAUUUGAAGGAUCAGCAUCUAACCUCCUGUCAGGUUCUGAUCCUCUCUCUGGAUCAGAACCUCCUACAGAUUUGUUUUCAAGUCUCUCACCC
rnacentral:lncRNA from 1 species